rnacentral:lncRNA from 1 species
GGUUGAAAGUUCGAGGCCACAGCAGAAGCGCUUAUGGGAAGGCCCUGUCAGAUUUCAAUGAAUCUGUGAAUUCUGCU